rnacentral:misc_RNA from 1 species
GAUGAAGAACGCAGCGAAAUGCGAUAAGUAAUGUGAAUUGCAGAAUUCAGUGAAUCAUCGAAUCUUUGAACGCACCUUGCGCCCUUUGGCCAUUCCGAAGGGCAUGCCUGUUUGAGUAUCAUGAACACCUCAACUCUCAUGGCUCGCCAUGAUGAGCUUGGAUUUGGGGGUCUUGCUGGCCUGUGGUCGGCUCCUCUCAAAUGGAUCAGCUUGCCAGUGUUUGGUGGCAUCACAGGUGUGAUAACUAUCUGCGCUUGUGGUUUUCCAUCAGAUAACCUUCAGUGAUGGAGGUUCGCUGGAGCUCAUAAACGUCUCCCCUAAGCGGGGACAGCCCUUUGAAUGUUUGAUCUCAAAUCAGGUAGGACUACCCGCUGAACUUAAGCAUAUCAAUAACGGAGGA